GAUAAACGCUGGCGGCGCACAUAAGACAUGCAAGUUGAACGGACUUAAUCGAAAUAUUUCUAUUUUGAAGCGGUUAGUGGCGGACUGGUGAGUAACGCGUAAGGAACCUGCCUAUUAGAGGGGAAUAACAGUGAGAAAUCAUUGCUAAUACCGCAUAUGCCAUAGAUAUCACAUGAUAACAGUGGGAAAGGAGCAAUCCGCUAAUAGAUGGCCUUGCGUCUGAUUAGAUAGUUGGUGGGGUAACGGCCUACCAAGUCGACGAUCAGUAGCCGGACUGAGAGGUUGAACGGCCACAUUGGGACUGAGAUACGGCCCAGACUCCUACGGGAGGCAGCAGUCGGGAAUAUUGCGCAAUGGAGGAAACUCUGACGCAGUGACGCCGCGUAUAGGAAGAAGGUUUUCGGAUUGUAAACUAUUGUCGUUAGGGAAGAGAAAGGACAGUACCUAAGGAGGAAGCUCCGGCUAACUACGU
rnacentral:rRNA from 1 species